rnacentral:rRNA from 1 species
GACGAACGCUGGCGGCGUGCUUAACACAUGCAAGUCGAACGGUGAAGCGCCUUCCUUUUUGGUGGGUGUGGAUGAGUGGCGAACGGGUGAGUAACACGUGAGUAACCUGCCCCCUUCUUCUGGAUAACCGCAUGAAAGUGUGGCUAAUACGGGAUAUUCUGGGUCUGUCGCAUGAUGGGUCUGGGAAAGAUAUUGUUUCGGUGGGGGAUGGGCUCGCGGCCUAUCAGCUUGUUGGUGGGGUGAUGGCCUACCAAGGCGGUGACGGGUAGCCGGCCUGGGAGGGUGGACGGUCUCACUGGGACUGGGACACGGCCCAGACUCCUACGGGAGGCAGCAGGGGGGAAUAUUGCACAGUGGGCGCAAGCCUGAUGCAGCGACGCCGCGUGAGGGAUGGAGGCCUUCGGGUUGUGAACCUCUUUCGCCAGUGAAGCAGGCCUGCCUCGUUUGUGGGUGGGUUGACGGUAGCUGGAUAAGAAGCGCCGGCUAACUACGUG